AAGCAAAUGGGGAUGCGGUGAGACAAAAAGUAAAAUGUGUAAUUACCAUCUAAGGGUGAAAUGUAAAGUACGACAGUAUUUCUUGCACAGGCUUAACAUAGCAGUCGGACAGCUUCUUCCUUCAAAUGGCAAAAAAUACUGGAAGCUGAGAAAGAAAACUUGAAUUGCUGAAAGGUCCAUAACGACAAAAUGGAAUUGUGCAUGUUAUCCUGAACAGACAAUUAUGAACAGGGUGGUUUUCCGUCAAACAUGAAAGAACAAUAAAUCUAAUAAUUAGUAGUAGUUUGUAAUAGGCCAAUACUAAUAGUCUAGUCUAGAGUAGACCUGUAUCCGAUUGAUAGGUAUCAACAUAUUCAUCACAAAAACAAGUUUUAUUUAUUUUAAUGGUCAUUUUGUUAUGGUAACUAAAUAAACAAAACGUUUAAUUUAUUCAAACUAUUUGUUAGCUAUUCGG